UAACUGUUGUGCGUCGCAGGUGAUAAUUAGCUAGUGUUGAGGUCAUAGUUGGUUACAAUGGCUUGGAGAAAUGGGUUGUUAAAAGGGAAUUGCUAGUGUAUGGAAGUUGCUUAUUAAAAUUGGUGCUUUCAUUGAGAGUAAAUCGGAGCCAUGGCAGAUGGGACCAGUUUGAAUCGACCCUGUCCAACAAGUAAGAGAUCACCACACUCAGUUGUGGUCUCAUAGAGGCAAAUGAGCGGAUUGCGACACUCAAAACCGGCUCACAAUUGACAAGAUGUUGCAUCAGAAUCAGAAGUUCAAAUAGAAAAACACUGAUUACGUCCUCGCUAGGGAUGAUGCCGCGAAUGGUGGUGCUAGUCCUGGUUUGGACAACCUGGGAGUUGAGAAAUCGUGGCCUCGAAUGAGGGUGAAAGUUGCUGAUCUUCCUAUGUUUGACGGCGAUGGGGUUGAAAAUUGGGUGUUCUGCGCUCGCCAAUAUUUGGAAAAGUUUGAAAUACCAAUGCAGUAGAGGAUCUGGGUAUUAUCGUUCCACCUUGUAGAUGCGGCUUAUGCAUGGUAUUGGUGGGGAAUCAACAACAACAUCACCUACAACUGGGACACAUUUUUGAACACUAUGAAGGUCAGGUUCGGGAAGAAUCUCUUCUACGAUCCUCGCACUGCCCUCAAGGAGCUGAAGCAGAACGGUUCAAUGGAGGAGUACCAGAACCAAUUUGAAGAAUUGACUAACAGAGACAAUGGGUUGAGUGAAGAGUGGAUUAUUUUUCUUUUUGUGGCUGGGCUUCAAGAUCAAAUGAAGUGUGAAUUGCUCUUAGCCUAGCCCACUUCUUAUAUCCAAGCAGUCUCCAUUGCCAAGCUGCAUGAGCAGAAGAAUGCUUCUACCUUAGGCUUGACCCGCAUUGGAAUGACUAAGCCCAAUGCCCCUAUAACCCGACCCGGUUCGCACUUAAUCAAACCCUCAACCUAUCCAAGCUCAUCUCUUUGGCGCCCCUCCCCACCACAAGUUCAACAGCUUCCAAUACCUUUCCAAUACCCUCAAUGCCAACGGCACCAUCACCAUUCAAGAAAUUAACAAGUGCGGAUAUUCGAGCUCGAAAGGAAAAGGGCUUGUGCUACUACUGUGAUGAACGUUAUACACAAGGUCACUGCUAUAAGGCCUCCUACUAGCUUCUUGUGGGAGAGGAGGAGCUCUAGGAAUUGUUGCACGGAUUGCCUCCGGUGCCGAAAGAGAAAUCCUAGUCAGAUUUAGAGGAUGAAGGUACUAUGGGGGAAAGGCAGGAACCUUGCAUAAGUCUAAAUGCUCUAAAAGGAGAAUUUCAUCUAGAAACUUUAAGAGUAAAAGGGAUGCACGAAAACUGGCCGCUACUAAUCUUGAUCGACAGCGGCAGCACCCACAAAUUUAUCAAAAGGUCAGUAGUUAAGAAACUGAACCUAAACCUCACCCCAUCCCAAUGCUUCAGGUAAUGGUAGGUAAUGGGGAUUCUAUUAAUUGCGUUGCGAAAUGUCACGAUUUUUCUGUUAUGGUGCAAGGAUAUAGCUUUAGAGUAGAUACUUAUGUGCUGGAUUCAAAAGGUGCUGAUGUUGUGUUGGAUGUGCGAUGCGGUUGGGCACUAUCUGAAUCAACUACUUGGAAUUGUUUAUGAAGUUCAAGGUUUUGGGAAAAUGGAUCACAUUCAAAUGAGAGAGGCUAUUAAGGGACACUAAACUGAAUUUCAAAAAGGGGAAGAAGCUCAAUGAUAGUGGCAAUAUUGGCUCUCUGUUCCAACUAGAGACGGUCAAUUCAGUAGCAUUCCUGACUCCGAAAGUAGUUGAUGGGGUUGUUCAAGAAGCGCUUGAGGCUUUUUUAGAUGUUUUUGUAGAACCCACCCAAUUACCACCGCAGUGCACUGUUGAUAAUCCAAUUCACCUAGCAUCGGGUGCCGCACUAGUUAGCGUCAGACCAAACAAGUGCCUUCACUUCCAAAAAGAAGAGAUGGAGUGUUUAACGGCUGAAAUGUUGCAAACGAGAGUAAUCAAGGAUAACCAAAGUGCAUUUUCGAGUCUAGUCUUGCUUGUGAAGAAGAAAGAUGGAGGCUGAAGAUUUUGUGUCGACUAUCGUGCCUUGAACACAAUUACUAUGAAAGAUAAGUUCCCAAUCCCAACCAUUGAUGAAAUUUUAGAUACAAGAAUGGUUACAAAUUCGAAUGAGGAAGGAAGAUAUUGAUAAGAUAACCUUUCAAACUCAUAUGGGGCAUUAUGAGUUUGUUGUGAUGCUAUUUGGGCUCACAAAUGUGCCAUCUACUUUUCAAGCUACUAUGAAUCGGGUUUUCCAGCCUUUCUUACGACGAUUUAUUGCUGUCUUCUUUGAUGAUAUUCUAGUUUAUAGCCACACUAGAGAGGAACAUUUGCAGCACUUGGCUCAAGAAUUGCAAGUUCUCAGAGAGCAUCAGUUAUUUGCCAAACAAUCCAAAUGCACUUUCCUCCAGCAGCAGAUUGAAUAUUUGGGUCAUGUGAUUUCUGGGGAAAGGGUGAGGGUGGAUCCUUCGAAAAUUGAAGGAAUUGUCGCCUAGCCAACUCCAACCACUGUGAAGCAACUGUGUGGGUUUCUUGGACUCACAGGAUACUACAAGAAGUUUGUUGCCAACUAUGCCCAGUUAGUGUUUCUUCGUACUGAAUUACUAAAAAAAAAUGUGUUCCAUUGGACAAUGGAUGCUGAUCAUGCCUUUAAUCAUUUGAAACAGUUAAUGGUUCACACUCCGGUAUUAGCCCUUCCCAUUUUUUCCCAACCUUUUGUCAUGGAAAUUGACGUGUCCAAUAUCGGGGUUGGCAUAGUUUUAUCCCAAGUGGGUUACCCAAUUUGUAUUAAUAAAUUCAUAUUUUAUGAUAAUUUUUGGGUUGAAAAGAGUGGAAUCUAUCAACUUAAUUAUCUUGCACUUAUUCCUUGAAAUUACAUGGUUUUGUGAAUUUUCUCCUAAUUGUGCUUAAUGGAUUAAGCAUGCUUUUUAUGCUAUAAAAAAAUGUCAAAUUAAUUCUAUUUUUAU